GACGAACGCUGGCGGCGUGCCUAAUACAUGCAAGUCGAACGCUUUUUCUUUCACCGGAGCUUGCUCCACCGAAAGAAAAAGAGUGGCGAACGGGUGAGUAACACGUGGGUAACCUGCCCAUCAGAAGGGGAUAACACUUGGAAACAGGUGCUAAUACCGUAUAACACUAUUUUCCGCAUGGAAGGAAGUUGAAAGGCGCUUUUGCGUCACUGAUGGAUGGACCCGCGGUGCAUUAGCUAGUUGGUGAGGUAACGGCUCACCAAGGCAACGAUGCAUAGCCGACCUGAGAGGGUGAUCGGCCACACUGGGACUGAGACACGGCCCAGACUCCUACGGGAGGCAGCAGUAGGGAAUCUUCGGCAAUGGACGAAAGUCUGACCGAGCAACGCCGCGUGAGUGAAGAAGGUUUUCGGAUCGUAAAACUCUGUUGUUAGAGAAGAACAAGGAUGAGAGUAAAACGUUCAUCCCUUGACG
rnacentral:rRNA from 1 species